rnacentral:lncRNA from 1 species
AGGUUUUAAGUAUGAUGCUUCCCUAAUACAUUCGGAUGUUUUCAGCCAAGUUGACUUCUGAACUAUGGGUUUCCUCCAAAUGUUGGCUGAAUUUUUUCCUUACAUAUCCCCAAGCUCAUCUGCAAGUGAAUGUCUGCAACACGGUGUGUGCGUGAAGUAAACCCAAAAUAGCCUCCGUGUUGGUUUUACCAGAGUAUUUAUAUUGGUAAUAGGAACUAAGUCAGAAUACAAAGAAUGUCACUUGAGGCCUUUGAUUAUUAAAAUUUUACUAAAUGCAUUAAACAUUCAGUAAAAUAGAAAAAUGUUUGGUUCGUGGAAAUACACUGAGUAAUUUAUUUUUAAUGAUGUCAUUGGAUGGGGAAAUUUAUAAACUCGGUGCUUUUCUUGAAAGUCAAGACUGGGCUUCUAUUUGAUAGAAAUGGAAUCGUUAUUUAAAGGAAAUGAUCUGUUUAUGCCAAAUUAGAGUUUUUUGAUUAUUUUCAUUACCCAGCUCUUUUAAGAGUAAAUUUAAUGGGAGUAUCAGCUCCAGGCAUGAAUACUAAACCCCUUUAAUGCGAGGUGUGUGUAAAACUUGUCAUUUCUCAUCAAAAUAGGGGCUGCUGAAUACAAGCAGAUGAGAGAAGUAGGGGAAAAAAUUGUUUUGCAGAAUAUUUGUGUCGUCUAUUGGGGAGAGCAAGGGACUGGAUUCAGUGAUAAAGAACAUUUUGUUAAUUAAGUAAGAAAAAUGGUUGUAUGACCAAAGAAAAAAAAGACUAAACAGAAGGCAACCCUAGUUAGUACAACAAAUGCUUCUCUGAAAACUUUCAGAGAGGGUAAAGUGACUUUUAACAGAAGAUAAAGCACUAUACAAUUAUUUUUAAAUAACACAGUGCAUUCCCCUAUCUCUGAUUGGGUCUUACAGAGACGAGGUGUCAGGUAUGACCAAAAGGGGACGCGUCACAACAAAUUCGAAAAUACACAACCCAUAUGUAAGGAAAAUGUUAAGCAGUGGGCAGCCUGAUUCCUCCUCUCUGUUUGCCUUUAAAGGCUAAACUUUUGUGUUGUUGUUUUUAUCCACGUGUAAAGUUGUUGAAUUUAAAAGCCAGAGAUUGGGCGAGUCCCCCCCCCCCAAGCCUAAAAUAGGAAAAAUCUAAACAUAUAUGCACAUUGGUUUUGUUUUCUGUUGUCAGCCAAGAUUUAUUAUGAAGAUUCGUAUUUCAUGUAUAUUAGUGCUGUCCAGAUGUCCUGAAACUCGUACCCCUUUUAUAUCACAUACGUGUGGGGGGGGGGGGGGGGGGGGUCCCCGGUUUAAAAAAAAAAAACUACGAAGAAAACACGUCCUUUCAACAGUAAUGAGUUCUAGUUGAUUCAUUGAGAAGGUUGUACUAAGUGACCUCCAGUGGAAAUAGCGAGGGUAUGCUUUCUGAGAGAUGUGUCAUUCAGGAACAAAAUCAAUUGAAGUAUUGGUAAUUAAACUGUAAUUCCAUGAAGGAAGGAAGUGGCGGGAAAGACGCAGCUAACUAUUGCUGUUUUUCUUUUUAAGAAUCCGCAGUUCAUAAUGGAGCUAACUGUACUGGCUGUCGGAAGGAGGAGAUUCUGAAGAUAGGGAGGUAAUAUUAUCUCUUUUAAGAGAAUACUUUCCUCUGUAAUCCUGAGCCUUUAUUACAUUUAAGAACUUUAUCUACCAGACAGCAAAGUCUUUAAAUGCGGGGUAUGGAACGAUCUGAUUUGCCCGUGCUGAGUUGUGAGCUGCCGCCCCCAGGGCUGCGGGCUGUGCCGGGAGAGCUGAGAAAUCUCAGCCAGGCAUACUCAGCACCCUUAAAAUAGCUUCUUUCUGAGAAUUAGAGCCGUGAUGGUGGCCUCCCCAGCGCAAGCAGACAUCAUUCUGGUUUGUGGCUGGUGUGCGUGCGU